rnacentral:rRNA from 1 species
GACGAACGCUGGCGGCGUGCUUAACACAUGCAAGUCGAACGGAAAGGCGCUGCUUUUGUGGGGUGCUCGAGUGGCGAACGGGUGAGUAACACGUGAGUAACCUGCCCUUGACUUUGGGAUAACUUCAGGAAACUGGGGCUAAUACCGGAUAGGAGCUCCUGCUGCAUGGUGGGGGUUGGAAAGUUUCGGCGGUUGGGGAUGGACUCGCGGCUUAUCAGCUUGUUGGUGGGGUAGUGGCUUACCAAGGCUUUGACGGGUAGCCGGCCUGAGAGGGUGACCGGCCACAUGGGGACUGAGAUACGGCCCAGACUCCUACGGGAGGCAGCAGUGGGGAAUAUUGCACAAUGGGCGGAAGCCUGAUGCAGCAACGCCGCGUGCGGGAUGACGGCCUUCGGGUUGUAAACCGCUUUCGCCUGUGACGAAGCGUGAGUGACGGUAAUGGGUAAAGAAGCACCGGCUAACUACGUG